AAGACACUAGUAAAAUUAAAAUACAUUGCUUUGUCAGGGCAAAAUUGCAGGUUAGACUCCUGCGUGCCUUA
rnacentral:tRNA from 1 species